rnacentral:lncRNA from 1 species
CAGUCAUGCUUGAAGUGAUUCUCUGAUUCUCUGGUCAUCUCCGUCACCACUCUGACCACGCCUCCGGUCCCUGCUGCGUUCACGUGACGAAGAUAUUCCUAGAACCCUCUCCACUGAAGCGGAUUCUUUCAUGAUCGUCACUUUUCAGUCUCCAUCCCCAACAUUAAGAAAUGGGAUGGUGAAAUGGAGGAGCAAGUGAUUGGAUGGGAUUUUGAAUCCAA